UCUCAGCUCGUCAUGCUAGAGCACGUUUUCAAUGGGCUCCCCAACGACAAGGCGACGACGUAUUCGUAUGUCAUCCAUAUCAACUUUUGAUGCCAUUUACUUCGCCUACCAUGGAGACCACGAGUAACGGGGAAUCGGUUCGAUUCCUGAGAGGGAGACUGAGCAACGGCUACCACAUGCAAGGAAGGCAGCAGGCGCGCAAAUGACCCACUCCCGACAAGGGAAGGUAGUGAUGA